rnacentral:rRNA from 1 species
GUCUGUGGCCACGCCGCCCUGAACGAGCCCGAUCCCGUCUGAUCUCGGAAGCUAAGCAGGGUCGGGACCGAUUAGUACUUGGAUGGGAGACCACCUAGGAAGACCAGGUGCUGUAAGUG